CCAAAAAAACCCCGAGGGGGAUGAAAGGUCUCUCUAUUUUUGUAUAGCAGAGUGAAAGUAUUGGGUAUCUGUGGCAAUAUUUAGUCCAAAGGAAAGUGUAAUUGAAUCCAAGUGACAUAAUGAGAAAGUGUCUGGCAAAGCCUUGUCCAGGGAAAAGUAGCAGGGACCAUUGCCAUCUAAAAUUUAAUUUUCUAGAUGAAUACGCAAUGGAACUGAAAGCUCUGGUGUAGCUAAAAGCUAUUGUACAGUAGAAGCACACUGUUUUGUGGGAAAAGACAGAGGUGUUGGCGUUUUAAAGAAGGAAAUGUAUGGCCCAAAGAAGUGAGAGAGAACAUUUUAGUGUUGUGGCUGAAAGUUGGAAUAUUUGCCCAGAACAGAGCAGCGAGCAGGAACACAGUAGGGAAGAAGUGCAGGUUGACAGGAGGCAGGAUGAAAACUCCCUAAAACUGGCACAGCAGGGUAACUUGGAAAAUAAUACCCAGUUUCUUUCGGUCUUUCAGACACUCUUCUCCUUAGCUUUGCUACCAUGGCAGGUGUCUCAAGUUAACAUCAGGCACCACCUGAGUGCUUUGUCUUCCCCUUAUAAAUUGGGCCUGUGAGGGGACUCCUGCAAAGACAGAGCUGUAAGACUGGGAAUGGGUUUUCUCCCUCUCUGAGAGCCUGAAGGAAGUAAACAAGGGAAUGCUUCUGUGUGAACAAAAUAAGAUCGGUCAAGCAAGAAAUCCUUCAAAUACACUGCAAAGAAGAAUUCCAAAGAACAGUUCUUGCAGGUGACAGCUGUAAUGGCACUAGAGACUUGCCAAUCCUGGCACCCACACAGUCUAGCCAUAAUUUUGGCUCGUGAACCUCUACAACAUCACAUUUCAUAAACGAGUGUUCAGACUGCAAAAACCAUUUUGCCUCCCUUGCCAGUUUUGGCAAUACCUCAGACUCCUGCUAUAAAAGAAGUGUGGCUCAAGUGGUAGCAGCUAUAAAGGGAUGGCAAGGCUACCUCUCACUUAGUUGCCUCAGCUGGAAAACAACAAUGGAGUGAAUCCAACAAAUUCACCUGCAAGCCCUGUGGUGUCUUCUCCACACCCACAUCUGGCACACAGAGUGAAGAAAGCAGUCAGCUUCAUUUGAAGGGGCUCAAGAUCCAUUUUUGAGGAACAGCUAUGGGAAAAGGGAGGAUUUUUUUCAAUCCUUUUUAUCACCAGAUGAGCUUUUUUUUUACCUCUGUGGCUGGUGGCAAGACCUUGGAAAGAGAACAUGGUCCUCUGGAGGAGGAUUCAUAACUUAAUGUCAGCAGAAUAACUCCACCCUGUCCUCUUUACAUCUUACAGAGAAUAUCUUUCCUCGCUUUUACUCUAAGCCUCAGGGAAUUUGUGGAUGCACACGUGCAUGGCCAAAACACAGUUUUGAGUAGA